GGCCAGACUCCUACGGGAGGCAGCAGUGAGGAAUAUUGGUCAAUGGGCGCGAGCCUGAACCAGCCAAGUAGCGUGAAGGAUGACUGCCCUACGGGUUGUAAACUUCUUUUAUAAAGGAAUAAAGUGAGGCACGUGUGCCUUUUUGUAUGUACUUUAUGAAUAAGGAUCGGCUAACUCCGUGCCAGCAGCCGCGGUAAUACGGAGGAUCCGAGCGUUAUCCGGAUUUAUUGGGUUUAAAGGGAGCGUAGAUGGGUUGUUAAGUCAGUUGUGAAAGUUUGCGGCUCAACCGUAAAAUUGCAACUGAUACUGGCAGUCUUGAGUACAGUUGAGGUAGGCGGAAUUCGUGGUGUAGCGGUGAAAUGCUUAGAUAUCACGAAGAACCCCGAUUGCGAAGGCAGCCUGCCGCAGCGUUACUGACGCUGAAGCUCGAAAGCGCGGGUAUCGAACAGGAUUAGAUACCCGGGUA
rnacentral:rRNA from 1 species